GAAGUCAUCUCCAGAGAUAAAGAGAGUGAGCCCAAGCCACAGAAAGAAAAGGAGAAUGAAGACCGGGCACUGUGGCUCACGCCUGUAAUCCCAGCACUUUGGGAGGCUGAGGCAGGCAGAUCAUAAGUGAUUUUCCCUACUGGGCAGCAGAUGAUUUCUUCAAAGGUUGCCUGGAUCAGAGUCCUUAAGGGAAUUAAGAAGUUGGGGAGUAAUGACCACAUCAAGUGUCGGUGAGGAUGUGGAGGAACUGGAACUCUUACACACAGCUGGUGGGGAUGUACAAUGAAACGACCACCUUGGAAAACAGUCUGACAGUUAAAAAAAAAAUUUAACAUAACAUCUAUCAUAUGAGCCAGCCAAUCUACUUGUAGGUAUUUACUCAAGAAGAAAGGAACACGGCUAUACAAAGACUUGUACAUAAUGUUCAUAGCAGCUUUAUUUGUAAUAGCCAAAGAGUGCAAAUGUCCAUUAGUAGGGAAAUGGAUAAACAAGUCAUGGUAUAUCCAUACCAUAAAAUACAACUUAGCAAUAAAAAGAAAUGAAUGAUUGACAUACACAAAGACAUGGGCAAAUCUCCAAAAAUUAUGCUAAGCAAAAGAAAGCACACAAAAAAGCACAUGCUGUGUGAUUCUAUUGAUAUGAAAAUGUAUAAAAUGUGAACUGAUCUACAGUGAUAUAAAGUACAUCAUUGGUUUCCUGGGGACAGGGUUAAGGUGCAGCAAGAGGGAGGAAUGAAAACAGGGAAUGAAGAACCUUUGGGGCGAUGAAUGUAUUUGUUAUCUUGAUGGCAGUGAUUAUUUCAUGGCUUAAACUUACAUCAAAGUUUAUCAAAUUGUACAUUUAAAAUAUGACAUACAGUUUAUUGGAGCCAAUUAAACCUCAAUAAAGUAGUUAAAGAAGAGUUCAUGGAUAA